AGGACGAACGCUGGCGGCGUGCUUAACGCAUGCAAGUCGAGCGGAAAGGCCCUUCGGGGUACUCGAGCGGCGAACGGGUGAGUAACACGUGAGCAACCUGCCCUUAGCUUCGGGAUAGCUCCGGGAAACCGGAAUUAAUACCGAAUAUGAUUUUUGCUGACAUCAGCAGAAGUGGAAAGUUUUUCGGCUAGGGAUGGACUCGCGGCCUAUCAGCUAGUUGGUGAGGUAACGGCCCACCAAGGCGACGACGGGUA
rnacentral:rRNA from 1 species